AUUUAUUUAUCAUAGUUCCAGAGGAUGGGAAGACCAGAUUCAAUGUGUGGUGACGGCUGGCAUUCUGGUUUGCAGAUGGCCACCUGGUCCUUGUAUCCUUCCAUGGCAGAUAGCAGAAAAUAAGAGAAGAAGUUCUCAUGCCUUUUCAUAUAAGGACACUGAUUUGAUUGAUGAAGACUCCACCUCCAUGACCUAAUUACAUAUAUACUAUUUGUGCUCUCAACAAAGAAUAGAUGCCACAAGCUUUAUCAUUUCCGAGGGCAACAUUUACGUUGCUUCAUAGCAAGUAAACUGAGUUAUAACCUGCAUGUGUAUACUCCAUGACUAAUGAUGUUAAGCAAAGAAAAGCUUUGGUCCUAUGGGCGAGAAACUUCCCCAUUUGUCACUUUGACGGACAGAAGAGGUAUUUCUGAUUCUGCACCUAAAUAUUGUUUCUCUUACAACCUAAAAGAUCAACUGAAAAUAGCCAGCAAAAUAUACAGAGAAAAUGAGAGUACUUCCCGAAGAAAGCAAUGAGCAUAAUUUCGUUAUGUGGCCCAGUAUUCAAAGGUUAACGAAGCAUUUACCAAACAUACUUUACGUUCUGUGCGUUCUGCUACGUCUGGUGAUUCACAGACAAAUGCGUCCUAGUUCCUGUCUUAGAAUUUUGUCAUCUAAAUUAUUUUAUUCCAAUUAAGAUUUCUUUACUGUUGAAACUAGUGAAUUAUCUAAUUACUAAAAGCUAUUAAGCUGAUCUUUAUCCUACCUUAUGAUUCUUCACUUAAAUAGUGGCAUUUACAUAAAAUGGUAUGCAUAUGCAUGCGAUCAAAUAUGUUGAACUGGUUAAAGAAUGGGCUAAAAUUAUUUGAAGGCACUUAGCAUUAUUACAGGACAACAGAAAGGUUACAGUUCUUCAUGAACACUCAGUGGUAACACCGUGCUAGUGUCUCCCCUUGCUUUUUAUCAUUUCUCUACAUUUUAACGUUAUGUACCGUUCAUAGCUUCAUAACUAAUUUACAGGAAAGCAAGGCUGUGACAUUGUUGGAGGUAAUUUUCUGAUAUUUGCUUUUGUGUAAAGAAUAACGUUCCAGCGUCCUGUGUGUCUUGUCUUCGCUGCCUUCACUUACUCUUUCAUUUUUCAGUUUCCUCUUCCUUGUUUCUCUCUUCCCAUUAGCCUAGACGCGGACUAAAAAUGAGUCCUUGAGAAAAAGCACAGAAACAGUAAAUAAAUAAAGAAACCGAAACGGCUGCAACAAUACUUCCUCUACUCCUAUUCUCUCUCGCUUUUGAGAGACUUCUAAUGCUGAUGUAGUUAUUUUAUUUUAAACAUUAUGUGAAAGAACAUAUUAAAAAAUAAGUCUCUGCACUUACACCAUUCUUUGAGAUGUAUGCCGUCCUUUUCUUUUGGCACUUAAAUAAUUCAUUUGCACAAAGGAUCAUAACUACAAGUUGAUCGUAAUCUUAGUUGAUGAGACACAAUCCUCAUCCAUUCACGCAAGACAGCUCAUUGUCAUUGUUCUAUGCUUUCCGUCACCCUUACUCUAGAUCUCUGUUUUUCAAAGGCGCUCAUAUGAAUGCAUUCGGUGUAUCACAUCUCUGUUCAGAGAUGAUAAAAUACAUAUUUUUAAAUAAAAUAACGAGUGUAAAUUGAGCACUUACUAUGUGUUAGAAUGUGACCUGCACAGCAAUCAUAGUUAAAAAGCUGCAACAGCCCUGAGGCAAACAUUCUCAUCAUUUUUAU
rnacentral:lncRNA from 1 species